CGUUUGACCUCGGAUCAGGUAGGGAUACCCGCUGAACUUAAGCAUAUCAAUAAGCGGAGGAAAAGAAACCAACAGGGAUUGCCCUAGUAACGGCGAGUGAAGCGGCAACAGCUCAAAUUUGAAAUCUGGCUCUUUUAGGGUCCGAGUUGUAAUUUGCAGAGGGCGCUUUGGCUUUGGCAGCGGUCCAAGUUCCUUGGAACAGGACGUCACAGAGGGUGAGAAUCCCGUACGUGGUCGCUAGCUAUUGCCGUGUAAAGCCCCUUCGACGAGUCGAGUUGUUUGGGAAUGCAGCUCUAAAUGGGAGGUAAAUUUCUUCUAAAGCUAAAUAUUGGCCAGAGACCGAUAGCGCACAAGUAGAGUGAUCGAAAGAUGAAAAGCACUUUGGAAAGAGAGUCAAACAGCACGUGAAAUUGUUGAAAGGGAAGCGCUUGCAGCCAGACUUGCUUGCAGUUGCUCAUCCGGGCUUUUGCCCGGUGCACUCUUCUGUAGGCAGGCCAGCAUCAGUUUGGGCGGUGGGAUAAAGGUCUCUGACACGUUCCUUCCUUCGGGUUGGCCAUAUAGGGGAGACGUCAUACCACCAGCCUGGACUGAGGUCCGCGCAUCUGCUAGGAUGCUGGCGUAAUGGCUGUAAGCGGCCCGUCUUGAAACACGGACCAAGGAGUCUAACAUCUAUGCGAGUGUUUGGGUGUCAAGCCCGAGCGCGUAAUGAAAGUGAACGGAGGUGGGAACCCGCAAGGGCGCACCAUCGACCGAUCCUGAAGUUUACGGAAGGAUUUGAGUAAGAGCAUGGCUGUUGGGACCCGAAAGAUGGUGAACUAUGCUUGAAUAGGGUGAAGCCAGAGGAAACUCUGGUGGAGGCUCGCAGCGGUUCUGACGUGCAAAUCGAUCGUCAAAUUUGGGCAUAGGGGCGAAAGACUAAUCGAACUAUCUAGUAGCUGGUUCCUGCCGAAGUUUCCCCUCAGGAUAGCAGUAAC
rnacentral:rRNA from 1 species